rnacentral:sRNA from 1 species
CUUCAUCUUCUUUAUAUU